UCUUGCAGCCCCUCGUGGGCGUUUCCUCCCUAGACUUCCGGACCGUUCUCCUGAGGGCGGUCCUUUUUUUGUUGUCGU
rnacentral:sRNA from 5 species